GACGAACGCUGGCGGCGUGCUUAACACAUGCAAGUCGAACGGUGAUGGAGAGCUUGCUCUUCGGAUCAGUGGCGAACGGGUGAGUAACACGUGAGCAACCUACCCUUGACUCUGGGAUAACAGUUGGAAACAGCUGCUAAUACCGGAUAUGACUUCUGCACGCAUGUGUGGGGGUGGAAAGUUUUUGCGGUCAGGGAUGGGCUCGCGGCCUAUCAGCUUGUUGGUGAGGUAAUGGCUCACCAAGGCGUCGACGGGUAGCCGGCCUGAGAGGGCGAUCGGCCACACUGGGACUGAGAUACGGCCCAGACUCCUACGGGAGGCAGCAGUGGGGAAUAUUGCGCAAUGGGCGAAAGCCUGACGCAGCAACGCCGCGUGCGGGAUGACGGCCUUUGGGUUGUAAACCGCUUUCAGCAGGGACGAAGGGUUACCUUGACGGU
rnacentral:rRNA from 1 species